UACGAAGGGGGGCGAGCGUUGUUCGGAUUUACUGGGCGUAAAGGGCGCGCAGGCGGCCAUUUUUGUCAGGCGUGAAAGCCCCGGGCUCAACCUGGGAAUUGCGCUUGGGACGGGAUGGCUAGAGAUCGGGAGAGGAGAGUGGAAUUCCCAGUGUAGCGGUGAAAUGCGUAGAUAUUGGGAGGAACACCAGUGGCGAAGGCGCUACCUGGACCGGUUCUGACGCUGAUGCGCGAAAGCGUGGGUAGCAAACAGG
rnacentral:rRNA from 1 species